rnacentral:rRNA from 2 species
UGCAAGUCGAACGAGAAGCUAACUUCUGAUUCCUUCGGGAUGAUGAGGUUAGCAGAAAGUGGCGAACGGGUGAGUAACGCGUGGGUAAUCUACCCUGUUAAGUGGGGGAUAACCCUCCGAAAGGAGGGCUAAUACCGCAUAAUAUCUUUAUCCCAAAAGAGGUAAAGAUUAAAGAUGGCCUCUAUACUAUGCUAUCACUUCAGGAUGAGCCUGCGUCCUAUUAGUUAGUUGGUGGGGUAAUGGCCUACCAAGACCACAAUGGGUAGCCGGUCUGAGAGGAUGUACGGCCACACUGGGACUGAGAUACGGCCCAGACUCCUACGGGAGGCAGCAGUGGGGAAUAUUGCGCAAUGGGGGAAACCCUGACGCAGCGACGCCGCGUGGAUGAUGAAGGCCCUUGGGUUGUAAAAUCCUGUUCUGGGGGAAGAAAGCUUAAAGGUCCAAUAAACCCUUAAGCCUGACGGUACCCCAAGAGAAAGCUCUGGCUAAUUAUGUGCCAGCAGCCGCGGUAAUACAUAAGGAGCAAGCGUUAUCCGGAAUUAUUGGGCGUAAAGAGCUCGUAGGCGGUCUUAAAAGUCAGUUGUGAAAUUAUCAGGCUCAACCUGAUAAGGUCAUCUGAAA